UUGCAGUUUUCUGAACAGAAGAGUGCAUGCUUCUGGCUUCUGAAUCAUGUGAUGAACCCAUCCUAGGCUCUGCUGGACAUUAAGGCUCCUCCAUUCCUCUUCAGAUAUCAAGUGACUUUUGGGUGCUUGUCUGGGAAGAUCUCCAGAUGUCUGGACAGUCACCUUUCUAAUAAAAUGGAAUUUAUAUAUAUUAUUAUGAAUUCUUCUAAACAUGGAUACUUGUCAGACACAGACCAAAAAUGGAGCCUUGUGAGGGGAAUUCUGAGUGCUUGUGAGAAAACUCCAAAAAAACAAGACAAGAGUCUUUUAUCUCAGUUUCUUCAAAAACAUGGAAUUGUUCUUGGAAUGUGCUUUUGUGCCCUUCCCAGGUGUAGUAGAUAGAGAAGAAUUACCCUGCAUGCACAGGAACAAACUGGCAGUUCCUGACCUGACAGUUUACUGAGUGGCACUUUGUACCAGCGCGCCAUGGCUCUGUGAACUUUGCACCUGCGCACUGUGGCUCCGUGAUAGAGCGGAAGCCCGACCUGUAUUCAUGAGCUGGAGGCUGUUCCGAGGCCCUACAGAGAGAGGACUAGUCCAUGGACCACCUAUGGCUGCACUGCUGGAGGGAAGUGCCAAGUGGAGGGGAGGCGACAAAGCCUGAUCCAAGACUCCCAAAGCUUUGUUUACUUUCCCCAGUGCAACCUUGGAGGUGCUGGUUUUGACAGGGGCGGCUUCCAAAUCCUGCAGCUAGAAAAUACCCAGCCCUUUGACUGCCCAGGGUAGAGGCCUGAGCUGACUAUGCAAGCAUCUAGCUGAGCUUUGGGAAUUCCGAUGCCUGUGAGCAGCCCCAGAUGCCUAGUGCUAAAGCUGAGACAAUAGACCUCUCAUCUUCAUAGCUACAAGCUGCUGAAGGAGUGCCUCUGUCUCUUUGCCUGACCUCUAACCCCUAUUGACUUCUGACCAGACUGAGAGCAGGUCCCAAGCAUUUUGCAACCACGUUUGCUAGCUUGACUGAAUCCAUUCCCAGAACCUUUACCUCAAUGCUAACAGCUGAGGCUCUGUGAGCAAAACUGCAGACAUUGAUACAUUGUUGUUGGAGGCCAGGAGUGGCUGUCUGUGAACUCUGCCUGGGGGUGAGAUAUUUUGUUUCCAGCUCUUCCAAUUUCACAGAAUUCUCUUCUUCCAUGACAGGGUCUUAUGUAAUUUACAUGUAAUUUCAUGUAGCCUAGGUUGGCCACAAAAUCACUGUAUAUUCAGGGAUAAUGUUAAAUUCCUAGUCCUCCUGCCUCUACCUCUGGAGUGCUGGGAUCAUAGCUGUGCACCAUCACU